GACGAACGCUGGCUGCGUGCUUAGCACAUGCAAGUCGAACGCUGAAGCCGACAGCUUGCUGUUGGUGGAUGAGUGGCGAACGGGUGAGUAACACGUGAGUAACCUGCCCCUGAUCUCGGGAUAAGCCCGGGAAACUGGGUCUAAUACCGGAUACGACCACCAGACGCACGCUGGGGGGUGGAAAGGUUUUCGAUCGGGGAUGGGCUCGCGGCCUAUAAGCUUGGUGGUGGGGUAAUGGCCUACCAAGGCGACGACGGGUAGCCGGCAUGAGAGGGCGACCGGCCACACUGGGACUGAGACACGGCCCAGACUCCUACGGGAGGCAGCAGUGGGGAAUAUUGCACAAUGGGGGAAACCCUGAUGCAGCGACGCAGCGUGCGGGAUGACGGCCUUCGGGUUGUAAACCGCUUUCAGCAGGGAAGAAGCGAAAGUGACGGUACCUGCAGAAGAAGUACCGGCUAACUACGUGCCAGCCGCCGCGGUAA
rnacentral:rRNA from 1 species